rnacentral:rRNA from 1 species
ACGCUCGACACCUACGAGGCAGCAGUAGGGAAUCUUCCACAAUGGGCGCAAGCCUGAUGGAGCGACACCGCGUGAGUGAAGAAGGGUUUCGGCUCGUAAAGCUCUGUUGUUGGAGAAGAACGUGCGUGAGAGUAACUGUUCACGCAGUGACGGUAUCCAACCAGAAAGUCACGGCUAACUACGUACCAGCAGCCGCGGUAAUCUGAGCGGGCUGGCAAGGC